rnacentral:lncRNA from 1 species
ACUUCAUAUUUUUCUUUUUAAAGUCUAUAUAUAAUGUGGCUAAGAAGCUUUAGAGAACUGGUUUGUUAAGACUGUACAUUUUACAACUGCUUUCAUUUCUUUGCUGCACAGCUCUAAAAUAGAGAAGUUAUGUGUGGACGAAAUGUUCACUCUGGAGUUCUUCUGGCACUGGUCGUGUGAUAUGAGUGGAGCAGUUCUAGAGUGGAGCACUACUCACAGAAGUUUAGAAGAAUUAGCUCAAGACUUUGUAAACCCAAAUGGUGCUGAUUGGAAAGAACAUCCAGCUAGCCCUUUCGAAGUGUGGAUGAGGAAAUUCUUCAAUACCGUUUUCCACUGCUUCAGUCUUU